rnacentral:rRNA from 1 species
ACAGCCGGCCAUAGCGUGCGGGUCCGACCCAGACUCGUUCCGACCCUGGAAGUCAAACCGCACGUCGCCGCGGUGUUACUGACCUCCGAGAGGGGUCGGGAAGUCGCGGUGUCGGCACCU